rnacentral:rRNA from 1 species
UACGAAGGGGGCUAGCGUUGCUCGGAUUCACUGGGCGUAAAGCGCACGUAGGCGGGUUGUUAAGUCGGGGGUGAAAUCCUGGAGCUCAACUCCAGAACUGCCUUCGAUACUGGCGACCUUGAGUCCGGGAGAGGUGAGUGGAACUCCGAGUGUAGAGGUGAAAUUCGUAGAUAUUCGCAAGAACACCAGUGGCGAAGGCGGCUCACUGGCCCGUAACUGACGCUGAGGCACGAAAGCGUGGGGAGCAAACAGG